rnacentral:rRNA from 1 species
AUACGUAGGGUGCAAGCGUUAAUCGGAAUUACUGGGCGUAAAGCGUGCGCAGGCGGUUCGGAAAGAAGGAUGUGAAAUCCCAGGGCUCAACCUUGGAACUGCAUUCUUAACUACCGAACUAGAGUAUGUCAGAGGGGGGUAGAAUUCCGCGUGUAGCAGUGAAAUGCGUAGAUAUGCGGAGGAAUACCGAUGGCGAAGGCAGCCCCCUGGGAUAAUACUGACGCUCAUGCACGAAAGCGUGGGCAGCAAACAGGAUUAGAUGCCCUGGUAGUCCACGCCCUAAACGAUGUCAACUAGCUGUUGGGCCCUUCGGGGCUUAGUAGCGUGGCUAACGCGUGAAGUUGACCGCCUGGGGAGUACGGUCGCAAGAUUAAAACUCAAAUGAAUUGACGGGG